rnacentral:rRNA from 1 species
GAUGAACGCUGGCGGCGUGCCUAAUACAUGCAAGUCGAGCGAACAGACGAGGAGCUUGCUCCUCUGACGUUAGCGGCGGACGGGUGAGUAACGCGUGGAUAACCUACCUAUAAGACUGGGAUAACUUCGGGAAACCGGAGCUAAUACCGGAUAAUAUAUUGAACCGCAUGGUUCAAUAGUGAAAGACGGUUUUGCUGUCACUUAUAGAUGGAUCCGCGCCGCAUUAGCUAGUUGGUAAGGUAACGGCUUACCAAGGCGACGAUGCGUAGCCGACCUGAGAGGGUGAUCGGCCACACUGGAACUGAGACACGGUCCAGACUCCUACGGGAGGCAGCAGUAGGGAAUCUUCCGCAAUGGGCGAAAGCCUGACGGAGCAACGCCGCGUGAGCGAUGAAGGUCUUCGGAUCGUAAAACUCUGUUAUUAGGGAAGAACAAAUGUGUAAGUAACUAUGCACGUCUUGACGGUACCUAAUCAGAAAGCCACGGCUAACUACGUG